AAUAGGGUAACCGGUCGUUUCGUUACAUCGCCUUUUCGUUACAGUCAAUUCGUUACAUACGAAGUCAUUUCGUUACACAUGUGAAGGUCAUUUCGUUACACAUGGGAAGGUCAUUUCGUUACACUUGAUUAUUAUCCUAUCUUGGUCGCAUGUUAAACGGUAUAAGUGUUUUCCUGUUAUCUUGUUCAGGUUGAUCUUCCUUGGUUGACAUUAGAGACGUGACAGAACACUCAAUUUUACGUUUGGUUUUGGUUAUUGUUUGUUUUUUAUCGUUCGGUUUUGUUCCGUUCCGUGAUACCAAUAGACACAUAUCAUUCAUUCUUAACACGUCCCUGUUUCUCAUAUCUCUCUACUAACACUGUUCAAUGUUUCUAUAUCUUCAAGAAAGGGUAUUCGAUUAAGUUAUUACCGGAGAAAUGCGAAUUUCGGGAAAGGUAAGUCAAAUCAUGUGUGGAAGAUGUACCAUUUAGAAGAACGUUGCUGUAAUGUAUCUUGACCCGACUUUGCAUUGAAUCUUUCAUAUUCAUAUUCAGUCAAAAAUACACAACAAGACUAUUGUACCAUUUGUGUUCCCCACCGACCUUUGUCCUGUACACUAUUACGGUAUUCACUAUUACAGUACUACGUACGUGGUGGGAAGGAGGACAAUGAACCCUUGCGUCGUGCAAUGCAUGACGGUCUAGCAUCAGUUGUCGGCAUAAGAAUAUAUUCGUGUGUGUUGUAGAAAAUGUACGGAAACAUUACAUUUUCUCCGUUUAAACUGGCGCAUGGGUAAUGUUUAGUAGGGAAAAAAUGGUAAGGAGAGAUAUAAGCCUGAUUUUUUUUUCCUUGAAGGGGUAUUGGAUAUCGUUUUAUAGGCAUUUUGUCGGCGCCGAACGGACCAGAAACCUACGAAAGUGCGUGCCCGCCGGUCUAUUAAACAACAAUAGGUCUUUACUGCGCGCGCUGUACUGGUAUAUCAACGAUACUAAAGGCAUCUAAUCGUGAUUUAUUGUACACAUCACAGCAUAUAUGAUAAAUGAUCAAGUUACUACAUAACAGAUAUAUUAUGUGUAAUCUCUCCUUGGUUCAGAUGACCGUUCAAGUCGACAUGCAGCGUGGCCCGUCAGCGCCUCCAGCGCUUGGCGGCGUUCAAUAUCUGCCGAAAAACAAGAAAGAAAUUGAAAUUUUGAGUCCCGGCUUUUUGUUACCACGAAAAGUAAUACAUUUGUAGUAAGAAGUACUAUAACGGCCUGACAUUAAUCUGUAACGAAAUGACUUGGUGAUGUAACGAAAUGACUUGGUGAUGUAACGAAAUGACUAAUCAUGGUGUAACGAAAUGACUUCAUGAUGUAACGAAAUGACGUGUAACGAAAAGACCAUGUAACGAAACGACCUGUAUUC